rnacentral:rRNA from 1 species
GACGAACGCUGGCGGCGUGCCUAAUACAUGCAAGUCGAACGCAGUGGGGACGGGUGAGUAAACCGUGGGUAACCUCCCAUCAGAGGGGAUAACACUUGGAAACAGGUACUAAACCGAUACUGAUGGAUGGACCCGCGGUGCAUUAGCUAGUUGGUGGGGUAACGGCUCACCAAGUCCCCGUUGCAUAGCCGGUCUGAGAGGGUGAUCGGCCACACUGGAACUGAGACACGGCCCAGACUCCUACGGGAGGCAGCAGUAGGGAAUCUUCGGCAAUGGACGCAAGGCUGACCGAGCAACGCCGCGUGAGUGAAGAAGGUUUUCGGAUCGUAAAACUCUGUUGUUAGAGAAGCGGUAUCUAACGAGAAAGCCACGGCUAACUACGUGCCAGCAGCCGCGGUAAUUC